rnacentral:sRNA from 1 species
CCCUAGCCCUGAUAGAAGCGGCAUCCUUUUUCUGGCUUUUUUUAGCCAGAAAAAGAUACAGCGGAGAGCAGGAAUAGCU